GGAUCCAGACUUUGAUUAUGGCUCAGGAUGAACGCUAGCUACAGGCUUAACACAUGCAAGUCGAGGGGAAACGAUAUUGGAAGCUUGCUUCCGAUAGGCGUCGACCGGCGCACGGGUGAGUAACGCGUAUCCAACCUGCCCAUCACUUGGGGAUAACCUUGCGAAAGUAAGACUAAUACCCAAUGAUAUCUCAAGAAGACAUCUGAAUGAGAUUAAAGAUUUAUCGGUGAUGGAUGGGGAUGCGUCUGAUUAGCUUGUUGGCGGGGUAACGGCCCACCAAGGCGACGAUCAGUAGGGGUUCUGAGAGGAAGGUCCCCCACAUUGGAACUGAGACACGGUCCAAACUCCUACGGGAGGCAGCAGUGAGGAAUAUUGGUCAAUGGGCGAGAGCCUGAACCAGCCAAGUAGCGUGCAGGAUGACGGCCCUAUGGGUUGUAAACUGCUUUUAUAAGGGAAUAAAGUGAGCUACGUGUAGCUUUUUGCAUGUACCUUAUGAAUAAGGACCGGCUAAUUCCGUGCCAGCAGCCGCGGUAAUACGGAAGGUCCGGGCGUUAUCCGGAUUUAUUGGGUUUAAAGGGAGCGUAGGCCGGAGAUUAAGCGUGUUGUGAAAUGUAGAUGCUCAACAUCUGCACUGCAGCGCGAACUGGUUUCCUUGAGUACGCACAAAGUGGGCGGAAUUCGUGGUGUAGCGGUGAAAUGCUUAGAUAUCACGAAGAACUCCGAUUGCGAAGGCAGCUCACUGGAGCGCAACUGACGCUGAAGCUCGAAAGUGCGGGUAUCGAACAGGAUUAGAUACCCUGGUAGUCCGCACGGUAAACGAUGGAUGCCCGCUGUUGGUCUGAAUAGGUCAGCGGCCAAGCGAAAGCAUUAAGCAUCCCACCUGGGGAGUACGCCGGCAACGGUGCAACUCAAAGGAAUUGACGG
rnacentral:rRNA from 1 species